rnacentral:rRNA from 1 species
AAAUUGAAGAGUUUGAUCAUGGCUCAGAUUGAACGCUGGCGGCAGGCCUAACACAUGCAAGUCGAGCGGUAGCACAGAGAGCUUGCUCUCGGGUGACGAGCGGCGGACGGGUGAGUAAUGUCUGGGAAACUGCCUGAUGGAGGGGGAUAACUACUGGAAACGGUAGCUAAUACCGCAUAACGUCGCAAGACCAAAGUGGGGGACCUUCGGGCCUCAUGCCAUCAGAUGUGCCCAGAUGGGAUUAGCUAGUAGGUGGGGUAAUGGCUCACCUAGGCGACGAUCCCUAGCUGGUCUGAGAGGAUGACCAGCCACACUGGAACUGAGACACGGUCCAGACUCCUACGGGAGGCAGCAGUGGGGAAUAUUGCACAAUGGGCGCAAGCCUGAUGCAGCCAUGCCGCGUGUGUGAAGAAGGCCUUCGGGUUGUAAAGCACUUUCAGCGGGGAGGAAGGCGAUAAGGUUAAUAACCUUGUCGAUUGACGUUACCCGCAGAAGAAGCACCGGCUAACUCCGUGCCAGCAGCCGCGGUAAUACGGAGGGUGCAAGCGUUAAUCGGAAUUACUGGGCGUAAAGCGCACGCAGGCGGUCUGUCAAGUCGGAUGUGAAAUCCCCGGGCUCAACCUGGGAACUGCAUUCGAAACUGGCAGGCUAGAGUCUUGUAGAGGGGGGUGGAAUUCCAGGUGUAGCGGUGAAAUGCGUAGAGAUCUGGAGGAAUACCGGUGGCGAAGGCGGCCCCCUGGACAAAGACUGACGCUCAGGUGCGAAAGCGUGGGGAGCAAACAGGAUUAGAUACCCUGGUAGUCCACGCCGUAAACGAUGUCGAUUUGGAGGUUGUGCCCUUGAGGCGUGGCUUCCGGAGCUAACGCGUUAAAUCGACCGCCUGGGGAGUACGGCCGCAAGGUUAAAACUCAAAUGAAUUGACGGGGGCCCGCACAAGCGGUGGAGCAUGUGGUUUAAUUCGAUGCAACGCGAAGAACCUUACCUGGUCUUGACAUCCACAGAACUUUCCAGAGAUGGAUUGGUGCCUUCGGGAACUGUGAGACAGGUGCUGCAUGGCUGUCGUCAGCUCGUGUUGUGAAAUGUUGGGUUAAGUCCCGCAACGAGCGCAACCCUUAUCCUUUGUUGCCAGCGGUUAGGCCGGGAACUCAAAGGAGACUGCCAGUGAUAAACUGGAGGAAGGUGGGGAUGACGUCAAGUCAUCAUGGCCCUUACGACCAGGGCUACACACGUGCUACAAUGGCAUAUACAAAGAGAAGCGACCUCGCGAGAGCAAGCGGACCUCAUAAAGUAUGUCGUAGUCCGGAUUGGAGUCUGCAACUCGACUCCAUGAAGUCGGAAUCGCUAGUAAUCGUAGAUCAGAAUGCUACGGUGAAUACGUUCCCGGGCCUUGUACACACCGCCCGUCACACCAUGGGAGUGGGUUGCAAAAGAAGUAGGUAGCUUAACCUUCGGGAGGGCGCUUACCACUUUGUGAUUCAUGACUGGGGUGAAGUCGUAACAAGGUAACCGUAGGGGAACCUGCGGUUGGAUCACCUCCUUACCUUAAAGAA